GUUUCAGUCGUUCGCGCAAAUUCAAACGACUGCUGCUGCCCUGUGGCGCUGAUGAAGAUGUUGACGGUGUCUGUAAGGAAUCACUUCAAAUGAUGAGGUCAAUGUCCUUUCUUCAACAAAGACUUUUCACAAGCUAAGAAUGUCAAAAAGAAGUUUAUGUAUAUAAUUACAAGCAAACGGUAAAGUGGUGCAUUAAGAAAAAAAUAUAUAUUUAAUAGUUUGAAAUUUACUUUAUAACACCACUUGAUACCACAGUGAUUGCUAUCGUCUAUAAAUAAAAUGUCAUCAAAGUCAAUUAAAGGUCAACAAUUCAAUAGCAUAUCACUGUCCAUUUUUAUAAAAUUUGAAAUUCAAAUAUUUUUUGGUGGUUCUUACUGACUUUGGUUUCGGUAGCAUUAGAAAAACUUGGAUUGAUUUUCGCCGGAGCAGUAGUGCAAU